CUCCAGACUCCUACGGGAGGCAGCAGUCGGGAAUAUUGCGCAAUGGAGGAAACUCUGACGCAGUGACGCCGCGUAUAGGAAGAAGGUUUUCGGAUUGUAAACUAUUGUCGUUAGGGAAGAUAAAAGACAGUACCUAAGGAGGAAGCUCCGGCUAACUACGCGCCAGCAGCCGCGGUAAUACGUAGGGAGCAAGCGUUAUCCGGAUUUAUUGGGUGUAAAGGGUGCGUAGACGGGAAAUUAAGUUAGUUGUGAAAUCCCUCGGCUCAACUGAGGAACUGCAACUAAAACUGAUUUUCUUGAGUGCAGGAGAGGUAAGUGGAAUUCCUAGUGUAGCGGUGAAAUGCGUAGAUAUUAGGAGGAACACCAGUGGCGAAGGCGACUUUCUGGACGAUAACUGACGUUGAGGCACGAAAGUGUGGGGAGCAAACAGGAUUAGAUACCCGCGUA
rnacentral:rRNA from 1 species